ACUCAAAUGAAUAGACGGGGGCCCGCACAAGCGGUGGAGCAUGUGGUUUAAUUCGACGCAACGCGCAGAACCUUACCAGCCCUUGACAUCCCGCGCUCGGCUCAGAGAUGGGCUUUCCCCGCAAGGGGCGCGGAGACAGGUGCUGCAUGGCUGUCGUCAGCUCGUGUCGUGAGAUGUUGGGUUAAGUCCCGCAACGAGCGCAACCCUUGCCUUCAGUUGCCAUCAUUGAGUUGGGCACUCUGGAGGGACUGCCGGCGGCAAGCCGGAGGAAGGUGGGGAUGACGUCAAGUCCUCAUGGCCCUUACGGGCUGGGCUACACACGUGCUACAAUGGUGGCGACAGAGGGCACAAGCGAGAGCGCGAGCUUUAGCAAAUCCUCAAAAGCCAUCUCAGUUCAGAUUGCGCUCUGCAACUCGGGCGCAUGAAGGUGGAAUCGCUAGUAAUCGCAGAACAGCAGGCUGCGGUGAAUACGUUCCCGGGCCUUGCACACACCGCCCGU
rnacentral:rRNA from 1 species